rnacentral:rRNA from 1 species
UACAGAGGGUGCGAGCGUUAAUCGGAAUUACUGGGCGUAAAGGGCGCGUAGGCGGUUAUAUAAGUUAGAUGUGAAAUCCCCGGGCUUAACCUGGGAAUGGCAUUUAAUACUGUAUGACUAGAGUAGAGUAGAGGGAAGUGGAAUUUCCGGUGUAGCGGUGAAAUGCGUAGAUAUCGGGAGGAACACCAGUGGCGAAGGCGGUUACCUGGGCUUGUUCUGACGCUGAGGCACAAAAGCUGGGGGAGCAAACGGG